rnacentral:rRNA from 1 species
AUUGAACGCUGGCGGCAGGCCUAACACAUGCAAGUCGAACGAGUGGCGGACGGGUGAGUAAUGUCUGGGAAACUGCCUGAUGGAGGGGGAUAACUACUGGAAACGGUAGCUAAUACCGCAUACCCUCAGAUGUGCCCAGAUUGGAUUAGCUAGUAGGUGGGGUAAUGGCUCACCUCGGCGACGAUCCCUAGCUGGUCUGCGAGGAUGACCAGCCACACUGGAACGGAGACACGGUCCAGACUCCGACGCGAUGCAGCAGGGGGGAAUAGUGCACAAUGGGCGAAAGCCUGAUGCCGCCAUGCCGCGUGUUGGAAGAAGGCCUUCGGGUUGGAAAGCACGUUCAGCGGGGAGGCGUUACCCGCAGAAGAAGCACCGGCUAACUCCGUGCCAGCAGCCGCGGUAAUAC